ACUGACAGCCAUGGUUACCGCGGCUGCUGGCACGGAGUUAGCCGGUGCUUCUUCUGUGAGUGAUGUCCUUCCUGCCGGCUAUUAACCCGCAGGCCUUCUUCCUCACUGAAAGUGCUUUACAACCCGAAGGCCUUCUUCACACACGCGGCAUGGCUGGAUCAGGGUUGCCCCAUUGUCCAAUAUUCCCCACUGCUGCCUCCCGUAGGAGUCUGGGCCGUGUCUCAGUCCCAGUGUGGCUGAUCAUCCUCUCAGACCAGCUACGGAUCGUCGCCUUGGUGAGCCGUUACCUCACCAACCAGCUAAUCCGACAUAGGCUCAUCCGAUAGCGCGAGGCCCGAAGGUCCCCCGCUUUCCCCCGUAGGGCGUAUGCGGUAUUAGCCUGGGUUUCCCCAGGUUAUCCCCCACUACCGGGCAGAUUCCUAUGCAUUACUCACCCGUCCGCCGCUCGCCACCAGGGAGCAAGCUCCCCGUGCUGCCGCUCGACUUGCAUGUGUUAGGCCUGCCGCCAGCGUUCAAU
rnacentral:rRNA from 1 species